AACGAACGCUGGCGGCAUGCCUAAUACAUGCAAGUCGAACGAGACCUUCGGGUCUAGUGGCGCACGGGUGCGUAACGCGUGGGAACCUGCCCUUAGGUUCGGAAUAACUCCCCGAAAGGGGUGCUAAUACCGGAUAAUGUCUUCGGACCAAAGAUUUAUCGCCUUUGGAUGGGCCCGCGUCGGAUUAGCUAGUUGGUAGGGUAAAAGCCUACCAAGGCGACGAUCCAUAGCUGGUCUGAGAGGAUGAUCAGCCACACUGGGACUGAGACACGGCCCAGACUCCUACGGGAGGCAGCAGUGGGGAAUAUUGGACAAUGGGCGAAAGCCUGAUCCAGCAAUGCCGCGUGAGUGAUGAAGGCCUUAGGGUUGUAAAGCUCUUUUACCCGGGAUGAUAAUGACAGUACCGGGAGAAUAAGCUCCGGCUAACUCCGU
rnacentral:rRNA from 1 species